CUGGCAGAUUCUGCAGCUGAAUGGACUUCUCUCUGGGCCUACGUUUGGGGCCACGAAACAAGAAGGCCACCCACCAACAACCUCCUGCACCCUCUGGGCAUGUCCCACCAGCUGCCUCUCCUUGUCUAUCCUGUCCUCCCUCUGCCUGUGCCUGCCCCUGCCCUGCCUGUCCUCCUCCCACCUGCAACUGCACUGCCUACCCCUCCUACGCAGCUACCUGUCCCUCCUGUCCCAGCCUCCCUGGCCCACCCUGCACCUGCUCCUGCCCUGCCUGUCCUCCCUCAACUUGUUACCAUAGCUCUGGUGUCCCAUGCUCUGAUCCUCACUUGGCCUACUGCCAUCCCUCACCUUGCCCCAUUUACCCUAGUGCCAAGGGCCGAACCGCCUGUCCCAGCUCCUGUUUGGCCUAUAGUAACAACUGUGGCUGUGGCAGAGGGCCUGCCUGGGGGCCUCCAGGCUCCAUUGGCCACUGCAGCUGCUGCUUCAGGGGACAACGCACCUCUCGCACCUCUCGGUGGCACUGUCUGAUAGUCUAGGCGGGCUAUUGCCCCCUAAAGAGACUGUCAGUCUUCUGGAGCCCUUCUGGAGCUGCUUCCUCAGGUAGGAGGCAGAAGCUCUGGGUGGAGUAAGAGGGGUCACCUGGACCCCUCACCCAGAAGGUAAAGGCAGCACACUGCUCAGAGCCCCUGGCCUCCCUCCCCCUCAGUCCUGGGGGUGAGAACAGGAAUCUGCUUUGAAGUUAGUUUCUGGGCAUGUUCCUGCUGGUUCCAGAAACUCUUCUUCUGCAACGUUUGGAAUGGAAACUGUUCUCAGAGCCUCCUGCAAGGCCUCUGAAGGAAUCUGGUGCUCUCUGCCUGGAUGUCUUGUCUUGCAAAUCUCUGAGUGCUAGCCCAGCCUCAUGACCUUAAUCUUCCAGGAUUAAUCCCAUCUGCAACAUCUCUGCUCAUCUGGGUAGCCAAAUAACUGUAAGUGGUGGAGAAAACUUCUUAUUUACGGAAGGAUUUCAGCUAAUAUGGAAGGAAUAUGGAAUCAGAAAAAUCAGCAUUUGUAACCCUUAAUGUAAUAAUUGAUUAAAGCAAGAAUCUUCAAUGGAUAAAACCAAGUAUGAUGGUUGACGGAGAAAUUUACCAAGAAGGAAUCAAGCUGUCACCACCUGAGCCUCUGGGUAAUCUUAGCAUUACUAAAAGGGGUACAACCACACACUGUGCACCCCUGGUGUAAUGCAGCCUGAAGUACGCAGCUCCGUCUAUGAAGGACUCUUGCCAAGCAAAACACUGAACAUGAUUUUAACCAAAACUCCAUUUAACAGGAAAUACUAGGGAUAGAAGAACAAAUUAAAUGACACAAUGAGGAAGUCAGAAGACACAUCCUGAAUGGAGGACAUUCUAAAGGAUAUCUGACCCAGUUUCUUCAACUAGUCAAUGACUGGGGGAAGAAGGCGAGAGGUGACAUUACAAGACAACUGCCACAUGGAACAUGAGGACCUUGUUUGGUUCCUGAUUUGGACAACCCAAUGUAAAAAGACAGUUUCCGGCAGCUGAGGACAGUUAAUUAUGGACCGGAUGUUUAUGAUGCCAAGGAAUCAGUGCUGAUUUUGUUAGAUGUAAAAAUGGCUUUGGGGUCAUGUAAAAAAAGGGGGGUUCUUAUUUCCUAGAGCUGCAUAUGGAAGUAUGGACUGAAGUGACAUUUGAUUUUAAAUAUUUUGGCAAAUAAAAAAUGACAGCAAGAAAGGAGUAGAAGGAACAAAGUGACAAAAUCAACAUUGUUGAAUUAAGUAUAUAAAGGCUCACAGAAUUAUGCUCUCUACCUUUGUGUAUGUUUGAGCAUUUUUGUAAUAAAAGUUUUAAAUGAUGCUCCUCUGGUAAGCAUGGUUCCUAGUAACUCCCAGAGCAUCCUCCUCACCUGCCCUGGAAGACUUCCCC